rnacentral:rRNA from 1 species
UACGUAGGGGGCAAGCGUUGUCCGGAUUUAUUGGGCGUAAAGCGCGUGUAGGCGGCUUGGCAAGUCCGCUGUGAAAACUCGAGGCUCAACCUCGAGAUGUCGGUGGAAACUGCCUGGCUAGAGUCCGGAAGGGGAGUGUGGAAUUCCUGGUGUAGCGGUGAAAUGCGCAGAUAUCAGGAAGAACACCUAUGGCGAAGGCAGCACUCUGGGACGGUACUGACGCUGAGACGCGAAAGCGUGGGGAGCGAACAGG